CGACACUAUAAGACAAAAGAGAUAAAAGAGGAUCAAGAAUUACCAAGUCCAACCUUAGACCGGGGGAAAGCCAAGCAAAUCGACUAAACCGUCUAGUCGCUACAUUCUGAAAUCUGAGUGCUACCUAUCUAGCUCAAGGAUCAU